rnacentral:rRNA from 1 species
AGUGAACGCUGGCGGUAGGCCUAACACGUGCAAGUCGAACGGCAGCACAGUAAGAGCUUGCUCUUACGGGUGGCGAGUGGCGGACGGGUGAGGAAUACAUCGGAAUCUACUUUUUCGUGGGGGAUAACGUAGGGAAACUUACGCUAAUACCGCAUACGACCUACGGGUGAAAGCAGGGGAUCUUCGGACCUUGCGCGAUUGAAUGAGCCGAUGUCGGAUUAGCUAGUUGGCGGGGUAAAGGCCCACCAAGGCGACGAUCCGUAGCUGGUCUGAGAGGAUGAUCAGCCACACUGGAACUGAGACACGGUCCAGACUCCUACGGGAGGCAGCAGUGGGGAAUAUUGGACAAUGGGCGCAAGCCUGACCCAGCCAUACCGCGUGGGUGAAGAAGGCCUUCGGGUUGUAAAGCCCUUUUGUUGGGAAAGAAAAGCAGCAGGUUAAUACCCCGCUGUUCUGACGGUACCCAAAGAAUAAGCACCGGCUAACUUCGUG